ensembl:lncRNA
GUGACCAAAUACUUAUUUUCCACCCUGAUUUACGAAUAAAUUCUUUACAAAUCCUACCAUGUGAAUUCAUGGAUUUGUUUUUCACAUUCUGUCUCUCACAGUUGAAGUAAACCUCUGGUGCAAAUUACUGACCUCUGUCAUCAUUUUAAGUGGGGGAACUUGCACAAUCGGUGGCUGACUAAAUACUUUUUUGCCCCACUGUAUCCUCAACUCACCUCAGCAUCACUGUCACCAUAGCCAGGAUUAUGCACCUGAAUCAUUUGACUCUAAUCUGCAAUCUACUGACAUUUAGCAAUGAAACUUAUACACAGUGUAAUUUUAAAAACAAAACUGUUUGCAACAAAUAGUGACCAAAUUUAAAGUUGGAUGAUGGGCUAACGUUUUAUUUGUUUUGUUCACUCACUGAUUAGGUUCACACAUCGAAAAUGGUACUUAAAGAAGGAACUUCAAAUUCAAAUUCAAAUUCAAAUUUUAUUUGUCACGUACACAGUCAUACACAGUACGAUAUGUAGUGAAAUGCUUGGACAACUGCUCGUGACCUAAAGAAAACAAAAAAGGAAAAGGCUAUGAAUAAGAUAGGAAAUAAAUAUGAAAAAUUAAAAAGGGUAAAUUUAACUAAGAAGGAAUAAAAUAUAAAUUAAGGUUAAAAAUGAAAUAACUGUACAACACAAAUUAGAAUGAAGGGUAAAUUUAACUGGGAAGGAAUAAGAUAAAAUAUAUAAAUUAAAGUUGAAAAUAAAAUAACUGUACAACAAAAUACACAAUAUAGAAGUAUAUAAGAAUGUAUGAAGAAAUCUAAAUCUAAAUAAAUAUAUACACAAUAACAGCAGCUGUACAAGUAUUAACCGGAAAUGAAGAAUAUAGUGACCAGUGUUGUGCAAAAAACAAUUCCAGUGUGUGUGUAAGAACCAUAUGUGUGGGUCAGUACUGUGUGGUGGUGUGAUUGAGAGACCGUAUCGCCUGCGGGAAGAAGCUCCUCCUCAGUCUCUCUGUGUUGGUCUUCAGGGAGCGGAAUCGCUUUCCUGACCUCAACAGAGAGAACAGUCUGUUGUUGGGAUGGCUGAGGUCCU